rnacentral:rRNA from 1 species
AGUCACUGACAUUAGAUACCCGCGUAGUCCUGGCCGUAAACGAUGUGGACUUGGUGUUGGAAUGGCUCCGAGCUGCUCCAGUGCCGAAGGGAAGCUGUUAAGUCCACCGCCUGGGAAGUACGGUCGCAAGACUGAACUUAAAGGAAUUGGCGGGGAGCACCACAACGCGUGGAGCCUGCGGUUUAAUUGGAUUCAACGCCGGACAUCUCACCAGGGCGACAGCAGAAUGAUGGCCAGGUUGAUGACCUUGCUUGACAAGCUG